UCCAUGUUUCAUGUACGGAAGAACAACUAAUGGGGAUCCUUCAUUGGGCAAACAGAUUCCCAGGAGCGACAAAACAUUGGGAUGAGUGAAAUCUUUCAUGAUUAUUCCUUCUUUCAGAAACUGAGCUACUUCUUCCAGCAUGUCAUUGUACAACAAAGUGAUGAGAGACUACAAACAUGCUCUCCACCUCCCACAUUACAAUGAGGUUAUGUGCAUUGGUUUUCCUACAAUGACCAAAUACAGGCUGUUGCUUUGCCCACUUUUCAGCAACUUAACUUACAAACUGAAAUCUUCAGUACUCAGUAGAAUAAAAAAUAAUGCUACCUUUCCCUUAUUUUUCCAGAGUUUUUUUUCUUUGUAGAGGAAUAAUAUGGACAUUUCAUUUGAUGUAAAAAUAUAUGCCAAUAU